UACGUAGGGUGCGAGCGUUAAUCGGAAUUACUGGGCGUAAAGCGUGCGCAGGCGGUUCGCUGUGUCCGAUGUGAAAGCCCCGGGCUUAACCUGGGAAUGGCAUUGGAAACUGGCGGGCUUGAGUGCGGCAGAGGGGGGUGGAAUUCCGCGUGUAGCAGUGAAAUGCGUAGAGAUGCGGAGGAACACCGAUGGCGAAGGCGGCUAUCUGGACAGAGUCUGACGCUGAGGCGCGAAAGCUAGGGGAGCAAACAGG
rnacentral:rRNA from 1 species